rnacentral:rRNA from 1 species
AUACGAGGGGUGCUAGCGUUAUUCGGAAUUAUUGGGCGUAAAGGGUGCGUAGACGGCAUGUUAAGUUGGUUGUUAAAUCCUUCGGCUUAACCGGAGGCUUGCGAUCAAAACUGGCAAGCUAGAGGAUGGAAGAGAGAAGUGGAAUUCUCGGAGUAGCGGUAAAAUGCGUAGAUCUCGAGAGGAACACCAAUGGCGAAGGCAGCUUCUUGGUCCAUUCCUGACGUUGAGGCACGAAAGCGUGGGUAGCAAACAGGAUUAGAAACCCCGGUAGUCC